NNNNNNNNNAUCAGGUAGGACUACCCGCUGAACUUUAGCAUAUCAAUAAGCGGAGGAAAAGAAACUAACAAGGAUUCCCCUAGUAACUGCGAGUGAAGAGGGAAAAGCUCAAAUUUAAAAUCUGGCAGCUUCGCUGUCCGAGUUGUAAUUUAGAGAAGUGUUACCCGUGCUGGACCGUGUACAAGUCUUCUGGAACGGAGCGUCAUAGAGGGUGAGAAUCCCGUCUUUGACACGGACUACCAGUACAUUGUGGUACACUCUCAAAGAGUCGUGUUGUUUGGGAAUGCAGCACUAAAUGGGUGGUAAAUUCCAUCUAAAGCUAAAUAUUGGCGAGAGACCGAUAGCAAACAAGUACCGUGAGGGAAAGAUGAAAAGAACUUUGGAAAGAGAGUUAAACAGUACGUGAAAUUGUUAAAAGGGAAACGCUUGAAGUCCAGUCGCGUUGGUUGGAAAUCAGUCUUGCUUUUGCUUGAUGUACUUUCUA
rnacentral:rRNA from 1 species